UACGGAGGGGGGCUAGCGUUGUUCGGAAUUACUGGGCGUAAAGCGCACGUAGGCGGCUUUGCAAGUCAGAGGUGAAAGCCCCGGGGGCUCAACCCCGGAAAUUGGCCUUUGAGACUGCAUCGCUAGAAUUGUGGAGAGGUAAGUGGAAUUCCGAGUGUAGAGGUGAAAUUCGUAGAUAUUCGGAAGAACAUCCAGUGGCGAAGGCGGACUUACUGGACACAUAUUGACGCUGAGGUGCGAAAGCGUGGGGAGCAAACAGG
rnacentral:rRNA from 1 species